UAGUAACGGCGAGUGAAGAGGGAAAAGCUCAAAUUUUGAAUCUGGUGUCUUUGACUCCCGAGUUGUAAUCUAGAGAAGUGUUUUCCGCGUUGGACCGUGUACAAGUUCCCUGGAACGGGGCGUCAUAGAGGGUGAGAAUCCCGUAUAUGCCACGGACUACCAAUGCUCUGUGAUACACUCUCAACGAGUCGAGUUGUUUGGGAAUGCAGCUCAAAAUGGGUGGUAAAUUCCAUCUAAAGCUAAAUAUUGGCGAGAGACCGAUAGCGAACAAGUACCGUGAGGGAAAGAUGAAAAGCACUUUGGAAAGAGAGUGAAACAGUACGUGAAAUUGUUGAAAGGGAAGCGUUUGAAGUCAGUCAUGUCUGUCGGGAUUCAGCCUGGCUUCUGCCUGGUGUACUUUCCGUCUGACGGGUCAGCAUCAAUUUCGAUCGAGGGAAAAAGACGUGAGGAAUGUGGCUGUCUUCGGGCAGUGUUAUAGACUUGCGUUGUAUGUCUCGGUUGGGAUUGAGGUACGCAGCGCGCCUAUUGGCCGGGGGUUCGCGCCCCUCGGUACGCGCUUAGGA
rnacentral:rRNA from 1 species